UACGGAGGGUGCAAGCGUUGCUCGGAAUUAUUGGGCGUAAAGGGCAGGUAGGUGGUCUCAUUUGUCUGGGGUGAAAGCCUUGAGCUUAACUCAAGAAGUGCCCCAGAAACGGUGAGACUAGAGUUCUGGAGAGGGUCGUGGAAUUCCCGGUGUAGCGGUGAAAUGCGUAGAGAUCGGGAGGAACACCAGCGGCGAAGGCGGCAUCCUGGACUGGUCCUGACACUCAGGAGCGAAAGCGUGGGGAGCGAUCCGG
rnacentral:rRNA from 1 species